AAAGUCGUAACAAGGUUUCCGUAGGUGAACCUGCGGAAGGAUCAUUUCCAAUCCAAAUCUUUAUCAACCCACUAUGUGCACUGUACAAAUUUUCACCUUUCUGGGAAAAACGAAGCCGGAAAACAACCUCAAAAAGGUUGGUUUCUUACUUCCCGAGUACCAGAAAGACAAAUUUUAUAUUACACCCUGUUUAACCCCAUGUAGAUCUUAUUACAAAAAAUUGUUAAAUACUUGACAACUUUUAACGGUGGAUCUCUUGGCUCGU
rnacentral:misc_RNA from 1 species